UGGGGGAAUAUUGGACAAUGGGCGAAAGCCUGAUCCAGCCAUGCCGCGUGUGUGAAGAAGGUCUUCGGAUUGUAAAGCACUUUAAGUUGGGAGGAAGGGCAGUAAAUUAAUACUUUGCUGUUUUGACGUUACCGACAGAAUAAGCACCGGCUAACUCUGUGCCAGCAGCCGCGGUAAUACAGAGGGUGCAAGCGUUAAUCGGAAUACUGGGCGUAAAGCGCGCGUAGGUGGUUCGUUAAGUUGGAUGUGAAAUCCCCGGGCUCAACCUGGGAACUGCAUUCAAAACUGACGAGCUAGAGUAUGGUAGAGGGUGGUGGAAUUUCCUGUGUAGCGGUGAAAUGCGUAGAUAUAGGAAGGAACACCAGUGGCGAAGGCGACCACCUGGACUGAUACUGACACUGAGGUGCGAAAGCGUGGG
rnacentral:rRNA from 1 species